rnacentral:rRNA from 1 species
CACGUAGUUAGCCGAUCCUUAUUCAUAAGUUACCAUCAUAUUUCUCGCUUAUAAAAGCAGUUUACAACCCGAAGGCCUUCGUCCUGCACGCGGCAUUGCUCCAUCAGGCUUUCGCCCAUUGUGAAAGAUUCCCUACUGCUGCCUCCCGUAGGAGUCUGGGCCGUGUCUCAGUCCCAGUCUGGAUGAUCAUCCUCUCAAACCAUCUAACGAUCGUCGACUUGGUGAGCCUUUACCUCACCAACUAUCUAAUCGUACGCAAGCCAUUCCCAAAGCGCAUAAAUGCUUUAAUCCAAAGAUCACGUGCGGUAUUAGCUAAUCUUUCGACUAGUUAUCCCUCACUUUGGGGUAUGUUCUCACGCGUCACUCAGCCGUCCGCCGCUCGUCAUCAGCUUCACAGUUCCCUCGAAUCUUACCACUCGCAUAAUAGCCAAGUGUGUCAAGAGAACGGUGAAGCUAUGCUACCGCUCGACUUGCAUGU